CUGGGACGGGGCCCUGGGGAGAUGAGACCUUGUCUUCUCCCUGGUCCUCCUCCUCGGUGGCCUCCUCCCACGCACCUUCCUGGAGGAUGCCACCUUUCCCGCCAGGGUGAGGCUAGCCCAGAGCAGGCUUUACACUCCUUGCCUCUGUCUCCCGCACAGUUCUACUCCUGUGCCCUCUGAGCCAGGAGGGGACACUGGCAGGGGACACUGGCAGCAUCUCGUCUGCAGCACAACCUGGGGUAGAGGAGAACGUCUGCAGGGCCCAGUGCGGCUCUCGGCUCAUGGUCUCACCCCCAGGACCUGGGAAGCACCGUAGGCGUCACACCCUCUGCAGGUGCCGCCAGCCCCCUGGAUCAGCCAGUGCUCCCAGCUCCAGGCCUCUGUGCAUGUUGGAAUCAUGUCCAGGGAAUUGUCCUGGGCUGCCAGGAGCCGCCUCCCCUGGGGGCUGCUCUGGGGGAUAGCACACAGUCAGUGAUGGACCCCGCAGGUACAAAUGUGGACCCUUGAGUCAAAGUCUGGGGAAUCCCUGUGAUUCAGGGAAUGUUCCACAGUCAGGCCAAGGCCAGGUGGACCCGAGGACCCGAGGCCAAGCCCCUACUCAGCUCCUCCCUGGCCCCCUCAACCCCUUCUCUUAAGGGCCCUCCCUCAA
rnacentral:lncRNA from 1 species